AUUGAACGCUGGCGGCAUGCCUUACACAUGCAAGUCGAACGGCAGCACGGGGCAACCUGGUGGCGAGUGGCGAACGGGUGAGUAAUGCAUCGGAACGUGCCAUUGAGUGGGGGAUAACGUAGCGAAAGUUGCGCUAAUACCGCAUAUUCUGUGAGCAGGAAAGCAGGGGGACCGCAAGGCCUUGCGCUCUUUGAGCGGCCGAUGUCAGAUUAGCUAGUUGGUGAGGUAACGGCUUACCAAGGCGACGAUCUGUAGCGGGUCUGAGAGGAUGAUCCGCCACACUGGAACUGAGACACGGUCCAGACUCCUACGGGAGGCAGCAGUGGGGAAUUUUGGGACAAUGGGCGCAAGCCUGAUCCAGCCAUGCCGCGUGAGUGAAGAAGGCCUCGG
rnacentral:rRNA from 1 species